GGUGCGGUCGGACAUCCGUGGGUAACUGUGGAUCCCUGUGGCAGGGGCGCGCCAGACAAUUAAUGAUGCCUCUUGAAGGCAUGACUGGAGA
rfam:Serratia sp. ATCC 39006 ctg2, whole genome shotgun sequence.